AUUGAACGCUGGCGGCAUACCUUACACAUGCAAGUCGAACGGUAACAGGUCUUCGGAUGCUGACGAGUGGCGAACGGGUGAGUAAUACAUCGGAACGUGCCCGAUCGUGGGGGAUAACGAAGCGAAAGCUUUGCUAAUACCGCAUAAGAUCUACGGAUGAAAGCAGGGGACCGCAAGGCCUUGCGCGAACGGAGCGGCCGAUGGCAGAUUAGGUAGUUGGUGGGAUAAAAGCUUACCAAGCCGACGAUCUGUAGCUGGUCUGAGAGGACGACCAGCCACACUGGGACUGAGACACGGCCCAGACUCCUACGGGAGGCAGCAGUGGGGAAUUUUGGACAAUGGGCGAAAGCCUGAUCCAGCCAUGCCGCGUGCAGGAUGAAGGCCUUCGGGUUGUAAACUGCUUUUGUACGGAACGAAAAGACUCUUUCUAAUAAAGAGGGUCCAUGACGGUACCGUAAGAAUAAGCACCGGCUAACUACGUGCCAGCCGCCGCCGUAAAAC
rnacentral:rRNA from 1 species